rnacentral:lncRNA from 1 species
GCUGAGAAGCAACAGACUGAAUUGCAAGAGAGAGUCUGAUGGUGUCUAGAAGGUUCAGAGCUCUCGAAACAGACUGUAGCAGUGCAGUGAACUGGGUGGAUACAUGCUCACUAGAGCCUCUGAUCUCUCUCCUCAGGAAAUCAAAUCCACUCUUCAAUACUCCUCUAAGUCUGGCUGCCUCCAUAGAUAGGUCUGAGACCUCAGUGGUGCACUCCUGUGGCUGUGGAUGUGCCAGAGCUAACACUUGUCCCUGCAAGUCAAGUACUCUCCCAAUCAGUCUCAAUAUAUAACCCUCAAGCUGCUGAAUGCGAACUGACUGAUCUAAAAUCAUCUGGAAGACAGUAGAGAUGUGUGGGAUCAAAGUCUGAUCUGAUACAUCAUGUGAUGUGGAUCCCUGUGCAAAAGCUGAAGUGCCCAACUGUCGAGAA